CAGUAGACAAGCGGUAGAGCCAGGAAUGAAAGAAAAAGGAGCAAGAAGGAACCUGCCUGACCUCAGGGCAAAUGACAGCAAGCAGUGGCGAAGGAGCCAGCCUGGUAACAAUCGGAGGAGACUGUGAUGACGAUUCUUCCGACUGGAACUUCCAGCAAUCUUAAAGGCUUUGCCUCUGGUUAUGAAUAUUAAAAAGGAAAAGAAGCUUUCAGCAAGUGCAGAGAAUUUGUGAUAAAUCACUAAGUCUUGGCUCAUAUUGAUUAAACGCAAUUCAUAAUUCA